UUUCCGUAGGUGAACCUGCGGAAGGAUCAUUCAUAAUAAGUGUUUUAUGGCACUUUUUUAAAUCCAUAUCCACCUUGUGUGCAAUGUCAGGGUUGAUUUUCUCUCGAGAGGAUCAACCCCAAACAUCAACUAUAUCUCAACUCUUUGUCUGAAAAAUAUUAUGAAUAAAACAAUUCAAAAUACAACUUUCAACAACGGAUCUCUUGGCUCUC
rnacentral:misc_RNA from 1 species